UCCAACUUACGCGGCAGUCUCGCUAGACACUCAACUAAGGACAAGGGUUGCGCUCGUUGCGGGACUUAACCCAACAUCUCACGACACGAGCUGACGACAGCCAUGCAGCACCUGUGUUCGAGUUCCCGAAGGCACCAAUCCAUCUCUGGAAAGUUCUCGACAUGUCAAGGCCAGGUAAGGUUCUUCGCGUUGCAUCGAAUUAAACCACAUACUCCACCGCUUGUGCGGGCCCCCGUCAAUUCCUUUGAGUUUCAGUCUUGCGACCGUACUCCCCAGGCGGCGAACUUAACGCGUUAGCUUCGAUACUGCGUGCCAAAUUGCACCCAACAUCCAGUUCGCAUCGUUUAGGGCGUGGACUA
rnacentral:misc_RNA from 1 species